ACCGUGCUAAGGUAGCAUAAUCCCUUGCCUCUUAAUUGGUGGCUAGUAUGAAUGGAUAAACGAGAAUCGCCCUGUCUCUAUAGACCAUAUAAAAAUUAUCCUUCAAGUGAAGAGACUUGAAUUAACCUAAAAGACAAGAAGACCCUGUAGAGCCUUAGUAAAGCCUAGUUAUAAAAAAUAAAUCUAAACCCAGUACCUAGUUAUACUUCAGUUGGGGCGACUAAGGAACAAAAAAGCUUCCCUAUAUUUAAAGGCCCAUUAGCCAUUUCACUGAUCCGUUUCCACGAUCAAAAAACCAGGCUACCUCAGGGAUAACAGUCUAAUCUUCCUUAAGAGUUCGCAUUGACAGGAAGGAUUGGCACCUCGAUGUUGGCUUAGGGGUUCUUUAGGGCGCAGCCGCCCUAAAAGUAGGUUUGUUCAACCUUUAAUAACCCUACGUGAUC
rnacentral:rRNA from 1 species